GUGCCAGCAGCCGCGGUAAGACGAACCGUGCGAACGUUGUUCGGAAUCACUGGGCUUAAAGGGCGCGUAGGCGGGCCGCAAAGUCUGUGGUGAAAUCCUCCAGCUUAACUGGAGAACUGCCUUGGAUACUGGCGGUCUCGAGGAUGGUAGGGGCGUGCGGAACAGUUGGUGGAGCGGUGAAAUGCGUUGAUAUCAACUGGAACUCCGGUGGCGAAGGCGGCACGCUGGACCAUGUCUGACGCUGAGGCGCGAAAGCCAGGGGAGCAAACGGGAUUAGAUACCCCCGUAGUCC
rnacentral:rRNA from 1 species